AGUGAACGCUGGCGGUAGGCCUAACACAUGCAAGUCGAACGGCAGCACAGUAAGAGCUUGCUCUUACGGGUGGCGAGUGGCGGACGGGUGAGGAAUACAUCGGAAUCUACUUUUUCGUGGGGGAUAACGUAGGGAAACUUACGCUAAUACCGCAUACGACCUACGGGUGAAAGCAGGGGAUCUUCGGACCUUGCGCGAUUGAAUGAGCCGAUGUCGGAUUAGCUAGUUGGCGGGGUAAAGGCCCACCAAGGCGACGAUCCGUAGCUGGUCUGAGAGGAUGAUCAGCCACACUGGAACUGAGACACGGUCCGGACUCCUACGGGAGGCAGCAGUGGGGAAUAUUGGACAAUGGGCGCAAGCCUGAUCCAGCCAUACCGCGUGGGUGAAGAAGGCCUUCGGGUUGUAAAGCCCUUUUGUUGGGAAAGAAAAGCAGCAGGUUAAUACCCCGCUGUCCUGACGGUACCCAAAGAAUAAGCACCGGCUAACUUCGUG
rnacentral:rRNA from 1 species